UUAAGUUCAGCGGGUAUUCCUACCUGAUCCGAGGUCAACCUUGUAAAAAUUGGGGGUUUUACGGCAGGCGCCCGCGCCACUCCAUAGCGAGGUUAGUUACUACGCUCGGUGUGGACAGCGAGCCCGCCACUGGUUUCAGGGCCUGCGGCAGCCGCAGGUCCCCAACACAAGCCGGGGGCUUGAUGGUUGAAAUGACGCUC
rnacentral:misc_RNA from 1 species